CUCAAGCCUUUCAGACUUCUC
rnacentral:snRNA from 1 species